UGGGGAAUAUUGGACAAUGGGCGAAAGCCUGAUCCAGCCAUGCCGCGUGUGUGAAGAAGGCCUUUUGGUUGUAAAGCACUUUAAGUGGGGAGGAAAAGCUUAUGGUUAAUACCCAUAAGCCCUGACGUUACCCACAGAAUAAGCACCGGCUAACUCUGUGCCAGCAGCCGCGGUAAUACAGAGGGUGCAAGCGUUAAUCGGAAUUACUGGGCGUAAAGCGCGCGUAGGUGGUUAUUUAAGUCAGAUGUGAAAGCCCCGGGCUUAACCUGGGAACUGCAUCUGAUACUGGAUAACUAGAGUAGGUGAGAGGGGAGUAGAAUUCCAGGUGUAGCGGUGAAAUGCGUAGAGAUCUGGAGGAAUACCGAUGGCGAAGGCAGCUCCCUGGCAUCAUACUGACACUGAGGUGCGAAAGCGUGGGUAGCAAACAGGAUUAGAUACCCUGGUAGUCCACGCCGUAAACGAUGUCUACCAGUCGUUGGGUCUUUUAAAGACUUAGUGACGCAGUUAACGCAAUAAGUAGACCGCCUGGGAAGUACGGCCGCAAGGUUA
rnacentral:rRNA from 1 species